ACUCCUCCUAGAGAUUUAUUCAGAUCAACACCAAACUUUGUCUGCCUAAUCUAAAGGCCUUUGCGAUGUUAAAUUGCGAAGAUCUUGAGGUUUCGUUUAAGGGCGUGUCUGUGGCGGCCUUACAAAUUUCGAUGUUUCGCCAUGAGAAAGGAAGUUGCUAUAACUCAGACAUACAAUGUCCAAUCUGCCCCAAACUUCACAUGUUUGAGAAGACUCCUGACCUGAAUAUAUCUACAUGCCAAUAUUCAGAUAUCGCUAUAGCGCAACAGGAAGUGACAUGUUUUACGCCGUAACAAACUACUCCUAGAAAUUUUAUGACAUUUUAUAAUUUUUGGGUCAGUCUAAUCUAAAGGCCUUUGCGAUGUUAAAUUGUGAACAUCUUGAGGUUUCAUUAAAGGGUGUGGCCAUGGCGCCGUGACAAAGUUCGAUGUCUCGCCAUGGGAAUAGAAGUUGUUGUAACUCAGGCAUAAGAUGUCCGAUCUUCCCUCAAACUUCACAUGUUCGAAAAAGAGUCUUGGCCUGAACACAUCUGAAGGUCAUUAUUCCACUAUAAUCAUAGCGCCACCUGCUGGCAACAGAAAAUGGCUUGCUUUAUACUAACUCAAACAUUCCAUGUUCAAUCUGCACUAAAUUUCAUAUGCUUGAUAAAAGUGCUGGACUGAAGAAAUCUACAUGACAAAAUCCAGUUAUAGUCAUAGCGCCACCAGCUGGCAGCAGGAAGAUUGGCACAUAUAAAUGACUUUGACAUAUUCCUCUUAUAUUUACCACAUUAAACGCAUAUUUCUCGCCGUUCGCUGUUUUACAAAAGCCAACUGGUGGUGGUGAGCCCGGGUGCGAGGGCCCGUUCAUCGCUGCUUGCAGCUUUAAUUAUUAUUAUUAUUCUUCUUCUUUUUCUCCAAAAUGAAUCGCAUUUUUGAGAGCCUAAACAUGCUCGAAAAGUCCUGAAACUUUGCACACGCGUCAGACCUGGUGAAAAUUUACGUCUGAUAUAGGUUUCAGAAGAGGGUGUGGCAAAAUGGCUCGACAGCGCCACCUAUCGUAAAAAAAUCAACAGCCCUCGAGCUGUGUUUCACGUACAUGCACGAAAAUUGGCACACAUAUGUAAAGCAUCAGUACCUACAAAAAAAGACUCUUGGAGCAAUAUCC
ensembl:lncRNA